rnacentral:rRNA from 1 species
GAUGAACGCUGGCGGCGUGCCUAAUACAUGCAAGUCGAGCGAACAGACGAGGAGCUUGCUCCUCUGACGUUAGCGGCGGACGGGUGAGUAACACGUGGAUAACCUACCUAUAAGACUGGGAUAACUUCGGGAAACCGGAGCUAAUACCGGAUAAUAUAUUGAACCGCAUGGUUCAAUAGUGAAAGACGGUUUUGCUGUCACUUAUAGAUGGAUCCGCGCCGCAUUAGCUAGUUGGUAAGGUAACGGCUUACCAAGGCAACGAUGCGUAGCCGACCUGAGAGGGUGAUCGGCCACACUGGAACUGAGACACGGUCCAGACUCCUACGGGAGGCAGCAGUAGGGAAUCCUCCGCAAUGGGCGAAAGCCUGACGGAGCAACGCCGCGUGAGUGAUGAAGGUCUUCGGAUCGUAAAACUCUGUUAUUGGGGAAGAACAAAUGUGUAAGUAACUAUGCACGUCUUGACGGUACCUAAUCAGAAAGCCACGGCUAACUACGUG